rnacentral:rRNA from 1 species
UACAGAGGGUGCAAGCGUUGCUCGGAAUUAUUGGCGUAAAGAGCUCGUAGGUGGUUCGGUAAGUCGGGUGUUAAACCCCCAGGCUCAACCUGGGGACGCCACUCGAUACUGCUGUGACUAGAGUCCGGUAGGGGAGCGUGGAAUUCCUGGUGUAGCGGUGAAAUGCGCAGAUAUCAGGAGGAACACCAGCGGCGAAGGCGGCGCUCUGGGCCGGUACUGACACUGAGGAGCGAAAGCGUGGGUAGCAAACAGG